AGUAACGGCGAGUGAAGCGGUAACAGCUCAAAUUUGAAAUCUGGGUCUUUUAGGCUCCGAGUUGUAAUUUGUAGAAGAUGCUUUGGGUGCGGCCCCGGUCUAAGUUCCUUGGAACAGGACGUCAUAGAGGGUGAGAAUCCCGUAUGUGAUCGGUGGCUUGCGCCCGUGUAAAGCUCUUUCGACGAGUCGGGUUGUUUGGGAAUGCAGCUCUAAAUGGGUGGUAAAUUUCAUCUAAAGCUAAAUAUUGGCCAGAGACCGAUAGCGCACAAGUAGAGUGAUCGAAAGAUGAAAAGCACUUUGGAAAGAGAGUUAAACAGUACGUGAAAUUGUUGAAAGGGAAGCGCUUGCAACCAGACUUGCGCGGGGUUGAUCAUCCGGGGUUCUCCCCGGUGCACUCGGCCUCGCUCAGGCCAGCAUCGGUUUUGGUGGUUGGAUAAAGGCCUUGGGAAUGUGACUUCUUUCGGGGAGUGUUAUAGCCCUCGGUGCAAUGCAGCCUACCGGGACCGAGGACCGCGCUUCGGCUAGGAUGCUGGCGUAAUGGUUGUAAGCGACCCGUCUUGAAACACGGACCAAGGAGUCUAACAUCUAUGCGAGUGUUUGGGUGUCAAACCCAUACGCGUAAUGAAAGUGAACGGAGGUGAGAACCCUUAAGGGUGCAUCAUCGACCGAUCCUGAUGUCUUCGGAUGGAUUUGAGUAAGAGCAUAGCUGUUGGGACCCGAAAGAUGGUGAACUAUGCCUGAAUAGGGUGAAGCCAGAGGAAACUCUGGUGGAGGCUCGCAGCGGUUCUGACGUGCAAAUCGAUCGUCAAAUUUGGG
rnacentral:rRNA from 1 species